rnacentral:lncRNA from 1 species
UCGUCCCCACCCUGGGACCCCGCGCCCCCCAGUCCCCCACUCCCGCGCCGAAGGCAGGGCCGCGCCCUGAGCCGGGAAGUCGAGGGGAUGGAAGGGAAAGGAGCCACCGGUGAGGGUCCCCCGGGUUCUGAGCCUCCCGCGUCGGGAUCCGUGGGGCGCACAGAGCGCCACCUCCGGCCGAGGCGCAGCUCAGAGCGCGAUGCGGGGGAGGAACGCGCGCGGAGGCCGAGGUCUGAGCGUGGCUAGACGGCUCCCACGCCGAGAAAGGGCGGGUGCGCCUGGGCUGGAUGGAUUUCGCCUCCCUAGACCAGGAGGGAUUGGACCCUGACUACAGGUCCAGGUGCUCGUCAGUGCCCUGCCAGGGGGUCUACGCGUCCUGGUACCGGGUCCAGCGGGGUGGCGUGCUGUGCAGACCCCGAGGCUAGACGGCCUAGGCCCCUGGAGCCCAGGAGACGCUUCCUUGGGUGAGCAGCGGAGAAUCCCGCCCGGCCCAGCCGUCACCCCCAACCCUGUCGAUUAAACCCCUGCCCCCGUCGCGGUCGCCCUCCCUCCAGACAAAGGCCGUUAAGGCGCAGCCCCGCGGGCGGUCUUUCAUCCCCAGCUAGGCCAGCUCUAGCAUUUCAAAGGCCGAAUCCGGAGAGCGCUUCGGGGGCUCUCCCCUUCCCCCAAAUAUUUGGGGAGCGACGCCUCUCCCUCCGCUCCCAGUGGGUCGCGUCUACACGCGCCCUUCCACACACCUGCAGGCCCCCUCCCCACGUCUCUCCCUUCCGUUGGCCGCAGCCCCACACCACGACCCCCGCGGUCAAGCAUGCCCUCUGGGUGGUCAGGACCAAGCGGGACCGGGACAGAACCAGGGGAGCCUUGGAAACGUGGAGGAGCCCCUUAAAGCCAGGCCUUGUCCCUCCAGGGGGAACUUGCGGCUUGGGAGGGGACACCCACUGCAUGGCUUCUGGAAAGAGCCGGACUCGCAGGGCCAGGACGCAGGCCGGACCCCGGCCUCAUUCUUCGGCCAGUUAUCCCGGAGUGGCGCGCAUCCUGUCUUCCUGGGCCUCGGACUGCUCGCGCGCAGAGGGGGCCCGAGGACACCUCUGUGGGGUUAGAGGACUCGCGGCCGCGCGAGGGAGGCGAAAACUUGUGCAGCCGCGCGACAGCCGCCUUCUGGGGAGACUCGGGGCACGACGCACCCGGCGUGGGACUGGGACCCCCCUGCCCGGCCCCGCCACAUUCUCCGCCGGAUCCCCGGAAGACACAAGGAGACGUGGACCCCCACAGGCUUUUUUGGGGGGAUUGGGCGUUGAAACCGCAGGGCUGACUUAACCAAGAGGUCACCGACUUGGAUAAAAAACCCACGCCCGCGCGGACCCCCCUCCCCGGCCUUCGUUUCCAUUCAAACUCCCAGCGUCCUCAUUGCAGCCCCUGGGGAGGGGGACGGAGGGACGAGGUGGGUUUCAGGUGCUCGGCCCAGGAGGGGACGGUGCGACCCGGGCCCCGCCGGCGGGUUUUGCGCGCGGAGGCUGCGGCACCUGCCCCGCCCGCCCUGCCGCGAUCCUUGCAGACGGGGGCGGUCACAUGCUUCUUUCUGGCCAGGAAUCGAGUUUCACUUCCAGCCGCUAUUAGUCGGUUCACACAGUUCACUGCAAACAUUUGAUAAUGAGGCUAAAUAUACUCCCGCGUCGGAGGAGGCGUGGGCGUCCCCGCCCAGGCCCGGGAGACAGAGGCGCUGACCCCGGGACAGAGCCUGGCUUUGUGCGGGAGGCAGACGCGCCCCGCGCGCCGCCCCCGAAACAUUCGCACCCCAUGCUGAGGCGCGCGUCUGGGAGUCCGUGGGCGCCCCGAGGGGCAGUGGAAGCCGUUGGAGGGCCUCAGGCAGGAACACAAGGUGUCGUGGCAGAAAGGAAGAAGGGGCCGGGCACGGUGGCCCACACCCGUCAUCCCAGCACUUUGGGAGGGAGGCCAAGGCAGGAGGAUCGCUUCAAUCCAGGAGUUCAAGAUCAGCCUGGGCAACACAGCAAGACCCCGUCUCUACUAAAACCCUAAAACUUAGCCAGGCUUGGUGGCAUGUGCCUAAGGUCCCAGGUCCUCGGGAGACUAAGGCAGGAGGAUUGCUUAAGCCCAAGAGUUUGAGGCUGCAGUGAACUAUUAUCACACCACUGCACUCAGCCUGGGUGACAGAGUGACUCUGUCUCAAAACUAAAUAAAUAAACAAUAAUUGUGUUAUUCUGUCUCCAUUUCUCGCAUACUGAAUUUAAGGUGGACUCAGCCAGCGGGUUCAG